UACAGAGGGUGCGAGCGUUGUUCGGAAUUAUUGGGCGUAAAGGGCGCGUAGGCGGUGCGGUAAGUCACCUGUGAAAUCUCCUGGCUCAACUGGGAGCUUGCAGGCGAAACUGCCGUGCUGGAGUGUGGGAGAGGUGCGUGGAAUUCCUGGUGUAGAGGUGAAAUUCGUAGAUAUUCGCAAGAACACCAGUGGCGAAGGCGGCUCACUGGCUCGGUACUGACGCUGAGGUGCGAAAGCGUGGGGAGCAAACAGG
rnacentral:rRNA from 1 species